rnacentral:rRNA from 1 species
ACGCUCGACACCUACGGGAGACAGCAGUGGGGAAUAUUGCACAAUGGGGGAAACCCUGAUGCAGCGACGCCGCGUGAGUGAAGAAGUAUUUCGGUAUGUAAAGCUCUAUCAGCAGGGAAGAAGAUGACGGUACCUGAGUAAGAAGCCCCGGNUAACUACGUGCCAACAGCCGCGGUAAUCUGAGCGGGCUGGCAAGGC